GAUGAAGAACGUAGCGAAAUGCGAUAAGUAAUGUGAAUUGCAGAAUUCAGUGAAUCAUCGAAUCUUUGAACGCAUCUUGCGCUCCUUGGUAUUCCUUGGAGCAUGCCUGUUUGAGUAUCAUGAGCAAACCUCAAAGUCAAUUCCUUUUGUUAAUUCAAUUGGUUUUGCUUUGGACUUGGAGGUCUUGCAGAUUUCACAGUCUGCUCCUCUUAAAUGCAUUAGCUGGAUCUCAGUAAUUAUGCUUGGUUCCACUCGGCGUGAUAAGUAUCACUCGCUGAGGACACUGUUAAAAAGGUGGCCAGGAAAAUACUGAUUGAACCGCUUCCAACGGUCUAUUAAGUUAGACAAUUACCCUUAAGUUUGAUCUCAAAUCAGGUAGGACUACCCGCUGAACUUAAGCAUAUCAAUAAGCGGAGGA
rnacentral:misc_RNA from 1 species